rnacentral:sRNA from 1 species
ACACUCAGUUGAAGAGGAAGACCAUCCCCGAUAGAGGAGGACUGGCCUUCAGUCAAGGGUAUACAGGUAGCUGCGCUCCCCUGCUAGAACAAGCUCUCAAAAAAGCACUACAGAGGUGGACAGAGC